rnacentral:lncRNA from 1 species
UUAAUGGUAUCGGGGUCAUAACUGAUCGUCCGCCCCCUCACAAAGCUCGUAUAUCUCCCAACAGCCACUCCUCCUCUGGGCACCGCGUUGGUGUAGAAUUCUUUCACCAACUCCACACUGGCAGGUGCCGGGUAAGUCGUCAACCUCUCCCAAUCUCUCCUCAUAAUCUCCUCUCUGAACUCAGGGGCCAAGUCAGGUAUGAAGGAAGCUUUCCUCUCCAUUAGUAAUCUCCUUUCUUGCACAGUUGCAUAGUGCUCCUCAUGUUGUUUGGAGAGGAAUCUCUGAGAAUCAAAUCCUCUCGAGCUUUCUGGCAUCUUCCGUUUUCCUCCAGUAUUCCUU